CCUACGGGAGGCAGCAGUGGGGAAUUUUGGACAAUGGGCGAAAGCCUGAUCCAGCAAUGCCGCGUGAGUGAAGAAGGCCUUCGGGUUGUAAAGCUCUUUUGUCAGGGAAGAAACGGUGUGGGCUAAUAUCCUGCACUAAUGACGGUACCUGAAGAAUAAGCACCGGCUAACUACGUGCCAGCAGCCGCGGUAAUACGUAGGGUGCAAGCGUUAAUCGGAAUUACUGGGCGUAAAGCGUGCGCAGGCGGUUUUGUAAGUCUGUCGUGAAAUCCCCGGGCUCAACCUGGGAAUUGCGAUGGAGACUGCAAGGCUAGAAUCUGGCAGAGGGGGGUAGAAUUCCACGUGUAGCAGUGAAAUGCGUAGAGAUGUGGAGGAACACCGAUGGCGAAGGCAGCCCCCUGGGUCAAGAUUGACGCUCAUGCACGAAAGCGUGGGGAGCAAACAGGAUUAGAUACCCUGGUAGUCCACGCCCUAAACGAUGUCUACUAGUUGUCGGGUUUUAAUUAACUUGGUAACGCAGCUAACGCGUGAAGUAGACCGCCUGGGGAUACGGUCGCAAGAUUAAAACNCAAAUGAAUUGACGG
rnacentral:rRNA from 1 species